rnacentral:rRNA from 1 species
AUGCAGGUUGAGAAGAUCCCUACAACAUUCCAUUCAAGUGAACAAUAUUUGACAAGCUUCAAGAAGCCCUUGAUAGAAGAAGUACGAUCAGAAAUAAAGUCUAGUCUGAAAUCCAUCAGCACAUCCGAGUAUUACAAGCUUCUUGGCAUCUUACCAGUGCAUGUGGGUGAUUCUUCUUCAAAAGAAAUGCAUGUGAAUACCUCUUAUGCAUACCUGGACAUCAACACAUGUUUUGAACAAGGUGGUCAUCACAUCACAUUACUCGCAAUGCUGAUCAAGAACCAAAAGACUUGCAGCUAA